rnacentral:rRNA from 1 species
UUGCUCUGUGGAUCAGUGGCGAACGGGUGAGUAACACGUGAGCAAUCUGCCCCUGACUCUGGGAUAAGCGCUGGAAACGGCGUCUAAUACCGGAUACGAGCUGCGACCGCAUGGUCAGCAGCUGGAAAGAAUUUCGGUCAGGGAUGAGCUCGCGGCCUAUCAGCUUGUUGGUGAGGUAAUGGCUCACCAAGGCGUCGACGGGUAGCCGGCCUGAGAGGGUGACCGGCCACACUGGGACUGAGACACGGCCCAGACUCCUACGGGAGGCAGCAGUGGGGAAUAUUGCACAAUGGGCGAAAGCCUGAUGCAGCAACGCCGCGUGAGGGAUGACGGCCUUCGGGUUGUAAACCUCUUUUAGCAGGGAAGAAGCGAAAGUGACGGUACCUGCAGAAAAAGCGCCGGCUAACUACGUGCCAGCAGCCGCGGUAAUACGUAGGGCGCAAGCGUUAUCCGGAAUUAUUGGGCGUAAAGAGCUCGUAGGCGGUCUGUCGCGUCUGCUGUGAAAACCCGAGGCUCAACCUCGGGCCUGCAGUGGGUACGGGCAGACUAGAGUGCGGUAGGGGAGAUUGGAAUUCCUGGUGUAGCGGUGGAAUGCGCAGAUAUCAGGAGGAACACCGAUGGCGAAGGCAGAUCUCUGGGCCGUAACUGACGCUGAGGAGCGAAAGGGUGGGGAGCAAACAGGCUUAGAUACCCUGGUAGUCCACCCCGUAAACGUUGGGAACUAGUUGUGGGGUCCAUUCCACGGAUUCCGUGACGCAGCUAACGCAUUAAGUUCCCCGCCUGGGGAGUACGGCCGCAAGGCUAAACUCAAAGGAAUUGACGGGGACCCGCACAAGCGGCGGAGCAUGCGGAUUAAUUCGAUGCAACGCGAAGAACCUUACCAAGGCUUGACAUAUAGAGGAAACGUCUGGAAACAGUCGCCCCGCAAGGUCUCUAUACAGGUGGUGCAUGGUUGUCGUCAGCUCGUGUCGUGAGAUGUUGGGUUAAGUCCCGCAACGAGCGCAACCCUCGUUCUAUGUUGCCAGCACGUAAUGGUGGGAACUCAUGGGAUACUGCCGGGGUCAACUCGGAGGAAGGUGGGGAUGACGUCAAAUCAUCAUGCCCCUUAUGUCUUGGGCUUCACGCAUGCUACAAUGGCCGGUACAAAGGGCUGCAAUACCGUGAGGUGGAGCGAAUCCCAAAAAGCCGGUCCCAGUUCGGAUUGAGGUCUGCAACUCGACCUCAUGAAGUCGGAGUCGCUAGUAAUCGCAGAUCAGCAACGCUGCGGUGAAUACGUUCCCGGGUCUUGUACACACCGCCCGUCAAGUCAUGAAAGUCGGUAACACCUGAAGCCGG